rnacentral:rRNA from 1 species
UAUGUGAUCGUCUCUCGCAUAUCAAUAAGCGGAGGAAAAGAAACUAACAAGGAUUCCCUUAGUAACGGCGAGUGAAGCGGGAAGAGCUCAAAUUUGAAAUCUUCAAGGUUUUACCUUGACGAAUUGUAGUUUAAAGAAGUGUUUUCUGUUGAAGUUUUGGUAAAAGUUCUUUGGAAUAGGACAUCAUAGAGGGUGAGAAUCCCGUAUUUGACCAUUAUUUUCAGCUGUGUGAUACACUUUCAAAGAGUCGAAUUGUUUGGGAAUGCAGUCCAAAAUGGGUGGUAAAUUUCAUCUAAAGCUAAAUAUUGGCGAGAGACCGAUAGCGAACAAGUACCGUGAGGGAAAGAUGAAAGAACUUUGAAAAGAGAGUUAAACAGUACGUGAAAUUGUCAAAAGGGAAGCGUUUGACACCAGUGUUGUUUUCUCGAAAAUCAAUUAAAAAGAGUUAGAUUUUGUUGUGUAUUGACCUUAACAGCUUGCAUUUCAAUUUUCUUGCUUUUUUUAAUGCACUUUUCCGUUUAACAAGUCAACAUCAGUUUCUUUUGUUGUAAAAAGGUCAUUGGAAGGUGGCUUUCUUUUCGGAGAAAGUGUUUAUAGCCUUUGACUCCUGCAAUCGGAGAGACUGAGGUCUGCAGCGUAGAUCCUUCGGGGUUAGAUACAUUUGUGCUAAGUUAUAGCUUUUUAUAGACAACUUGUUGACUAUGAUUAGUCUUGUAGCUUACUCGCUUAUGCUAUUUUACCUACGCUUAGGAUGUUGAAGAUGUAGCACAUCA